UACAGAGGGGGCCAGCGUUAUUCGGAAUUAUUGGGCGUAAAGGGUGCGUAGGCGGCGCGGUAAGUCGGGUGUGAAAUCUCGGAGCUUAACUCCGAAACUGCAUUCGAUACUGCCGUGCUUGAGGACUGGAGAGGAGACUGGAAUUUACGGUGUAGCGGUGAAAUGCGUAGAUAUCGUAAGGAAGACCAGUGGCGAAGGCGGGUCUCUGGACAGUUCCUGACGCUGAGGCACGAAGGUCAGGGGAGCAAACGGG
rnacentral:rRNA from 1 species